rnacentral:rRNA from 1 species
GACGUAGGGCGCGAGCGUUGUCCGGAUUUAUUGGGCGUAAAGAGCUCGUAGGCGGCUUGUCGCGUCGACCGUGAAAACUUGGGGCUCAACCCCAAGCCUGCGGUCGAUACGGGCAGGCUAGAGUUCGGUAGGGGAGACUGGAAUUCCUGGUGUAGCGGUGAAAUGCGCAGAUAUCAGGAGGAACACCGGUGGCGAAGGCGGGUCCCUGGACAGAUCCUGACGCUGAGGCACGAAAGCUAGGGGAGCAAACAGG